GAUGAACGCUGGCGGCGUGCCUAAUACAUGCAAGUCGAGCGAACAGACGAGGAGCUUGCUCCUCUGACGUUAGCGGCGGACGGGUGAGUAACACGUGGAUAACCUACCUAUAAGACUGGGAUAACUUCGGGAAACCGGAGCUAAUACCGGAUAAUAUAUUGAACCGCAUGGUUCAAUAGUGAAAGACGGUUUUGCUGUCACUUAUAGAUGGAUCCGCGCCGCAUUAGCUAGUUGGUAAGGUAACGGCUUACCAAGGCAACGAUGCGUAGCCGACCUGAGAGGGUGAUCUGCCACACUGGAACUGAGACACGGUCCAUACUCCUACGGGAGGCAGCAGUAGGGAAUCUUCCGCGAUGGGGGAAAGCUUGACGGAGCAACGCCGCGUGAGUGAUGAAGGUCGUCGGAUCUUAAAACUCUGUUAUUAGGGAAGAACAAAUGUGUAAGUAACUAGGCACGUCUUGACGGUACCUAAUCAGAAAGCCACGGCUAACUACGUG
rnacentral:rRNA from 1 species